AACGAACGCUGGCGGCAUGCCUAACACAUGCAAGUCGAACGAAGGCUUCGGCCUUAGUGGCGCACGGGUGCGUAACGCGUGGGAAUCUGCCCCUCGGUUCGGAAUAACAGUUAGAAAUGACUGCUAAUACCGGAUGAUGACUUCGGUCCAAAGAUUUAUCGCCGAGGGAUGAGCCCGCGUAAGAUUAGGUAGUUGGUGGGGUAAAGGCCUACCAAGCCGACGAUCUUUAGCUGGUCUGAGAGGAUGAUCAGCCACACUGGGACUGAGACACGGCCCAGAAUCCUACGGGAGGCAGCAGUGGGGAAUAUUGGACAAUGGGCGAAAGCCUGAUCCAGAAAUGCCGCGUGAGUGAUGAAGGCCUUAGGGUUGUAAAACUCUUUUCCAAGGGAUGAUAAUGACAGUACCUGGAAAAUAAGCUCCGGCUAACUCCGUGCCAGCCGCCGCCGUAA
rnacentral:rRNA from 1 species